AAAAAAUGAUAUAAAUACUGUUUGGUUUCUCGCACAAACCGAUCGUUUCGUGUCUUAGGACAUCAAUGUGUCGUCACGAGCCGCAGGGUUUAAUUUGGACUUGUCUAUAGUUUAUUUGACUCUUAUAUAUGGAGUUCCCACUAACAUGCAUUAUACGACUGACAGACUGCAACAGUUGCAGUUAAAAAUCAUCAUUUGUGUUCUACUGAAGAAACAAAGUCACCUACAUCUUGGAUGCGCUGGGGGUAAGCAGAUAAACAUCAAAUUUUCAUUUUUGGGUGAACUAUCCCUUUAAAGAGUACAAUGUCUUGCAAAAGGAAUGACAGUGCCUUUUUAUAGCUGCAUGCCCUUUUAAUGCAACAGGAGUUAGAGCUGAUUCAUGAUUCACGACAGGAGAGUGAGUCGACCGCAGAACAUUUGUUUUUUUUAAGUGAAAUGUAAAGGCGCCUAUUUGCAACCCAGUCUCACGGCAGUUUGUGACAUAGUCACGAAAUGUAAUCUAUUGAUUUGUGUUCGUGGACACGAAUUUCCCUUUUUUUCCGUGUCACUCAGCACGACUUUCGAUCUAAUGUAUUUCAAUAGGAAGCAUCUUUCGUGUCUGCACCACGUUUUUCUUUCUGCCACUCAGAAGCAUUGUUUUUUUUCAUUUGUUAUUCAUUUUUAAACUUUAAGCACUACAUUACUCAACAUUUAACCAGGAGAUUUGAUCCUUGUUUUUAUUGCUUUAUAUUCUGUAGGCUAUAACCUUUGUGCUUCGGUUUCUUUUCUGAGAAAUGCCGUUUUUCAAUCUAUUUGGUGUGUCAAAUCGGACAGUAAACUAAAUAUUACAGUACCCAUGAGCCUUAUCUACUUUUACUAUGUUGAAGACGUAAGCUAAAACUUCCUGAUGCCGAUUCUCUUUUAAUGAUAUCCUCAUCUUUCUUUCAACACAUAAACACGAAAGUGUGCUUGAUAAUUCAACAAUACGAUGUUCAUGACCAUCAGUUUUAUUUGAUUCUCCUUCUAUUGUGAGAACGGGGGGUUUAGUUGUGGUUAUUAAUUAAAUUAAAAUAAAAUAAAAAAUAAAUUAAUUAGUGGACGCCCGCAUUACCCGUGAGCCUCAGCAUCCGUUGCUAUGGAGACGGAGCCAGUCCACUUCGCGAUUGGGUGAUUUCUGCAGGCCGCGAAUUCUCCGUCAUUGCGCUCGAACCACUUUCCAGGUAAGCCACGAGACUUGAAUGUAAUGAUCAAAUUUGUUUAAAUGUUAUAAUUGAUGCUUUUCUUUUCCAUUAGACUCACGUGGUUUACAUGUUAGAGCAAUGAAUUAAAGGCCGACCAAUGGUUUCCAUAUUAACAGUAAAAAAAAAGACACGCCUUUUGUGCAGUCAUACAGAAAAUGGGAAAAACGUGAAUUUUAUUAUGUAUUUUUAAGAAAAUUGGUAUCUCUCACUAUCGGGGUACACAUUUUAAAACUUUUUUCAUCAUAUUUAGCCUUCACUACAUAAUGAACAAUUUCUAUUCUCCUGCAGAUCCUGUCAAACUUCACCUUCACCCUAUAGAUACACCUGAUUUCCAAAACCCAAAGGCACUUUUAAGAGCCAACCUCUGUCUAUCUUCAUCAUUUUCUAUCUCUGUCCAUCUAUUUCACCAUCUAUAUUUCUAUCCAUCUCUUCAAUCUCUAUCUGUCAUCUAUCUCAAUUUCUCUAUUUCUCAAUAUCUUUCCUCUCUUUCUGUCUUUGUCAGUCAGUCUGUCUGUCUGUCUCUGUCUGUGUUGCAGUGGCCACCAGACAUAUCCUUGACUCACAGGACCAAGAGGGGAGACGCAUGGCUCUUGAACUGAAACAUGACCACGUUCUAGCUGAAGCCAGGAGAGCAGCUGUGGAGAGGAAACGGUCAGGCUCUGGAGGAGACCCUCCACGGACCUCUGAAAGGGUCUUUGUAGGUCGUGGCAAGCCGAGGGGAAGGCGAAGAGGGCGACGCCAAGCCUCAGCUACAGAUUUCUUCUGUUGGGGGCCAUGACACAAAACGUGUCACAUGGAACAUCCUUUCCCGCAAUUUCCAUGAUGAUGUUGGGAGGAGGAUCAACUGGAAGUGUGUGAAUGGAAAAAAAGCAUUCAACCAGAUGGAAUCCAAGAAGUUCCUCCUGUGUAAGUAAAUGUAAUAAAUAUUGCCUGGCUAAAAAAUAAGCAAUUUUUUUUUUUUUUUUGCCAACAACUUUUUUUUUUGUUCAAAAUGUAUGUAACGAGCGAGUUCAUAUUGGGACUGUUUCAGACUGGUUCUGGUCGGCAGCGCUGCUAGAGCGCAGUAUCUGUGUGACUCGUCAUAGACAUAAACAGAGAGAAGUAGCUCCGGCUAUAAUGUUCUUCUGCAAGACGCAGGCAGUUCUGUUUAUUAACCGCUAGAGAGCCAAAAGUUACAUAGUGUACCUAUAAAUGUCAGAUAGUACACUUUUGUUUUAAAGGCAGUGGUUGUGUGUAUCCUUUUAAAAAAAAACUGGUAGCUUCAAUGUGAAUGAAAUUUUUAAAUGAAAAUCUGCUUGUGUAUUACAGGUGCUGUGUACAUAAUCUAUAGUAAUUCAAUAACCUGUCAUAUUUAAAAAGUCUAUAUCUUCUCUACAAACAAUGAUAAUGUUAAAAUGUUUAAUUAAUGUUUAAAAUAUUAUUUAAAAGCCUGUUAAUGUUUAAUAACUGGUUUUCUGCUCAUAUCGGUCGAUGUUUGAUUGAUAAACUGGGAAAUGCUGUUGUUAUGUGACGACAGUUUCAUCCAUUUUGCAAACUUGUAUGUCUAUUACAAGGUUAUCCGGUUAGCGUUAAUAGCAAAUUAUUGAGGCUUUCUGUUCAAUCUUUAAUAACACGAUGCUUCCGUAACGCUUCUGUAUUCAUUGUUGUUCACAGAGAGAGCGUUUUUAAAUGGUGCAUAAAAUAUAAUAGUUUGGCUUGGCUUGACACACAGUCUAAUGGUCUAACGAAAUAUACAUUUUAAACCUCUUUUAACUGUUGGUUCCUGGGAGGUCACAUGAUCUUAUUCUUUGUGUCAUAAUUCUUGGACUAAGUGUGCACAGAGCGCCCCACACAGUAGUCUGUGUAUACAGCGUUAAUUUGAUGACAACGGCGCGUUUUGGGUAAAAAUUGAAUAAAUAUUACUCCUCUAUAUAGAAAAUUGACAUAAACGUAUGAGAAUCCAUCAAUAUUUCUCCAAAUGUGCAUGCUUUUAAGCUAAAAGCCCUGAUGGA